UGGAACUGAGACACGGUCCAAACUCCUACGGGAGGCAGCAGUGGGGAAUAUUGCACAAUGGGCGAAAGCCUGAUGCAGCAACGCCGCGUGAGUGAUGAAGGCCUUCGGGUCGUAAAACUCUGUCCUCAAGGAAGAUAAUGACGGUACUUGAGGAGGAAGCCCCGGCUAACUACGUGCCAGCAGCCGCGGUAAUACGUAGGGGGCUAGCGUUAUCCGGAUUUACUGGGCGUAAAGGGUGCGUAGGCGGUCUUUCAAGUCAGGAGUGAAAGGCUACGGCUCAACCGUAGUAAGCUCUUGAAACUGGGAGACUUGAGUGCAGGAGAGGAGAGUGGAAUUCCUAGUGUAGCGGUGAAAUGCGUAGAUAUUAGGAGGAACACCAGU
rnacentral:rRNA from 1 species